rnacentral:rRNA from 1 species
GUCUAUGGCUACACCACCCUGAAUGCGCCCUGUCUCAUCUGAUCUCAGAAACCAAGCAGGGUUUGGGCUUGGUUAGUACUUGGAUGGGAGAAUUACACGUGGACUAAAUGAAUUACAGAAAUUGUGUACA